GGGUGCGAUCAUACCAACGUUAAUGCACCGGAUCCCAUCAGAACUCCGCAGUUAAGCGCGCUUGUGCUAGAGUAGUACUGGGAGGGGUGACCUCCCAGGAAUUCCUAGUGUUGCACCCU
rnacentral:rRNA from 1 species